UACGGAGGAACCGAGCGUUAUCCGGAUUUAUUGGGUUUAAAGGGAGCGUAGGUGGAUUGUUAAGUCAGCGGUAAAAUUGCGGGGCUCAACCCCGUCGAGCCGUUGAAACUGGCAGACUUGAGUUGGCGAGAAGUACGCGGAAUGCGCGGUGUAGCGGUGAAAUGCAUAGAUAUCGCGCAGAACUCCGAUUGCGAAGGCAGCAUACCGGCGCCCAACUGACGCUGAGGCACGAAAGCGUGGGUAGCAAACAGG
rnacentral:rRNA from 1 species